rnacentral:lncRNA from 1 species
UUAGAAUCCUUGCCACUUCCAGCCCUUUGCCUAAGAUUAGCCUAUGGGAAGCAUGGCCUCUGUGUGAAUUGGUGGUGGAUUCAAAGCACAGCAUCUGGGGUCCUGUGUCAAUUACGCUCUCCUCAACAGAAGAUCUGAGUGGUGGUGCAUCUUCAUGGCUGCUGGCAGGCCCCGCUGUGUAAUUACGUCUGGAAUUGGUGGGUUCUUGGUCUCACCGACUUCAAGAAUGAAGCCGUGGAUCCUCGUGGUGAGUGUUACAGCUCUUAAGGUGACGCACCUGGAGUUUGUUCCUUCUGAUGUUCAGAUGUGUUUGGAGUUUCUUCCUUCUGGUGGGUUCGUGGUCUCGUUGGCUCAGGAGUGAAGUUGCAGACCUUGGCGCUGACAGAAUCAAGUUUUAAAGAUCCAGUUAAAUGCCUGGCUAUCAACUUGCCAAGAGCUGAUCCAGAUGGAAGCCAUCAUCCUAAGAGUCAGACAACUCAUUAACUCUAAAGGGACUGCCAUGUAUUAAAAAUUCUCUUUAUGGAUUGUGAUGAGUUGCAUUGUUUGAUUUAUUCUUUUGUAUUCAAACUAUAUUUAUGGUGUAUCUAGAAAUAAAAUUACCUUUAAG